rnacentral:tRNA from 1 species
GGCCCCAUCGUCCAGUGGUUAGGACACCGGCUUUUCACGCCGGCAACACGGGUUCGAACCCCGUUGGGGUCA